rnacentral:lncRNA from 1 species
AGAGACAGAGAAAGAGAGAGAAUGUAGAGAUUGGCAUUGUAUGUUAAAGGUGGCUUUUGCAAUUGUUAUGAAAUUUGGCUGCUUCUUGCUCAGUGUCUGCAUUCACAUUCCGGGAAUUAAAAAUGUUAAGGUAACAAAUGUUAAGACUAGUUCUCGUCAACUGAAAAUGUUGAAAAAGCUGAUGUUUGGGGUGUAAUUUCUUUUCCUUACUUUUGAGGAAGUUAUUGAAACAUUUGAAGAAAUUGAGGCAGAGACACAAUACCCAAGGUCACACAAAAUGAAAUAUUGCCAGAAUAAGUGGAUUUUAGAUCUGAUUUCCUAGCUAUGUGGAACACUUAAUCCCUCUGUGUUCAGUUCCAGCAGGUAUAAAAUGAGGGUAAUAUUUGCUUUACCUGCCACAGGAGGUUUUUAUGAGGAUCAGAUGAACUAGUAGGUGCAGGGGCUUAGUCAACUAUAAAGCAUUGUAUUAUAUAAAUAUGAAGUAAUGUUAAAACUAAAUUAUACUUGAGGAUUUUGUGGUAGCAUGUGAAAUAACUGGAAAAAGUAUAAUGUAACAAAAUCUGGGCUGAGAAUAUUUGUAAUACAUACUCAUACUAAUAGAACUGCAAGAAUUUGCUUUUUGCCUGUGUCAGACUUUGUUAAUGACACCACAGAAUCGAUUGUGUUUUGAGUUUUGUGGCCAAGUCACAGCUGAGGUCCAAGCAAUCAACCAGUUUAUCUUCUAGGAGUCUCAAAGUUACUGAACUGGCUAUUUUGGUACUUUAAUAUAAUGUUAGCUUGCUGGUACUAUGUGGAAGAGCCACUCUCUUAAUAUAAAAUAUUCACGUUCUGAUGAUAAAUUUUCUAUCAAACUUUGAGAGCAUUUCUAUAUUUGAUACUUGGAGUUGAAUUAUAGUCAUACUUCAUUUUUGUAUUAUCGUCAUACUUUAUGCUGUGGAAAACUGAGGAAUUAAAAAUGAGUAGCCAAGAUCAUUUCCCUUAAUGGUGAUGUGAAGAGGAUAGGUGAUUCUCUUUCUGAAUAAAACAAGCGUAAAACUGGAUGAGAUUGUCCAAAAUGGUCGUUUCUGGGCACUGGAAACAAAAGGCAGAUAAUAGAUUGAGAAGCGUUAUUGAUACACUGAAUCUUUGGAUGAAUGGAUAAGCAAAUUGUGGUAUAUCUAUAGAAUGGAAUAAUACUCAGUAAUGAAAAGGAAUGGACUAUUGAUACAUACAGUGACAUGUAUGCAUUGCAAAAUAAUAACAUGCUGUGUGAAAGAAGCCAGACACCUUUUCCUACAAAACAGAAUACUGAUUCCAUUUAGGUGAAAUUCUAGAAAAUGCAAGCUAAUCUGUAGUGACAGUAGAUCAGUGCCUGCAGAUCAGAGGAUGGCUUGGGAGAGGAGGGAGAAAGGGAUUCCAAAGGAAAGAGCACAAUGAAACGUUUGGGGGUGAUGUAUAUAUUCAUUAUUUGAUUAUGUCUAAUGAUUUCAUGGGUGUAUACAUAUGUCAAAACUCAUUGUAUAUUUAAAUAUGUGCAAUUUAUUGUAUAUCAAGAGUAACUCAGUAAAGUUAUAAAAACUAAAACUAUGCCCAUUCAAAAAGCAAACAGAUGUUCAUAGUACCAUUAUUCACAGUAGACAAAAACUGGAAACAAUCCAAAUCCAUCAACCGGUGAAUAGAUAAACAAAAUUUGGUAUGUCCAUAUCAGCCAUGAAAAGGAAUAAAAUUCUGAUUCAUGCCACGGGUACAUACUACAAUAUGGUUGAACCUCAGAAACAUUAUGCCAAGUGAAAGGGCUCUGUAUUGUAUGAUACCAUGAUAUGAAACUUUUAGAACAGGCAAAACCUUAGAUCAGAUCAGUACUUUGCCUGGGUGUAGGGUGGCAGCAUGGAGAUUGGUUUUAAACAGGC